rnacentral:snoRNA from 1 species
AGUCCAUGAUGAGGACACCUUCUCAACAAAUCCUUAAAUCUCUCACAUGUAUCCUAAAGCAUCCCAAUACCAAACUGAAAAAAAAAAAGAAGAGAUUUCAUUCCUCAACUU